rnacentral:rRNA from 1 species
GACGAACGCUGGCGGCGUGCUUAACACAUGCAAGUCGAACGGUGAAGCGCCUUCCUUUUUGGUGGGUGUGGAUGAGUGGCGAACGGGUGAGUAACACGUGAGUAACCUGCCCCCUUCUUCUGGAUAACCGCAUGAAAGUGUGGCUAAUACGGGAUAUUCUGGGUCUGUCGCAUGAUGGGUCUGGGAAAGAUAUUGUUUCGGUGGGGGAUGGGCUCGCGGCCUAUCAGCUUGUUGGUGGGGUGAUGGCCUACCAAGGCGGUGACGGGUAGCCGGCCUGAGAGGGUGGACGGUCACACUGGGACUGAGACACGGCCCAGACUCCUACGGGAGGCAGCAGUGGGGAAUAUUGCACAAUGGGCGCAAGCCUGAUGCAGCGACGCCGCUUGAGGGAUGGAGGCCUUCGGGUUGUGAACCUCUUUCGCCAGUGAAGCAGGCCUGCCUCGUUUGUGGGUGGGUUGACGGUAGCUGGAUAAGAAGCGCCGGCUAACUACGUG